rnacentral:rRNA from 1 species
CUCAGAGUGAACGCUGGCGGCAGGCCUAACACAUGCAAGUCGAGCGGCAGCGCGUCCGACCACCCUCGGGUGGUCGGAUGGCGGCGAGCGGCGGACGGGUGAGGAAUGCAUCGGAAUCUGCCUCGUUGUGGGGGAUAACGUAGGGAAACUUACGCUAAUACCGCAUACGACCUACGGGUGAAAGUGGGGGGACCUUCGGGCCUCACGCGAUGAGAUGAGCCGAUGCCGGAUUAGCUAGUUGGCGGGGUAAAGGCCCACCAAGGCGACGAUCCGUAGCUGGUCUGAGAGGAUGAUCAGCCACACUGGAACUGAGACACGGUCCAGACUCCUACGGGAGGCAGCAGUGGGGAAUAUUGGACAAUGGGGGCAACCCUGAUCCAGCCAUGCCGCGUGUGUGAAGAAGGCCUUCGGGUUGUAAACCGCUUUCAGCCGGAAAGAAAUCGCCGUUUUUAAUACAGACGGUGGAUGACGGUACCGGAAGAAGAAGCACCGGCUAACUACGUG